ACACCACACAGCUGAUUCAGAGGUUAUGUUUUUUGGCGGUUCUAACAUUUUCUGGAUGCUAAGGAGUGUGUAGCAUUAACUACAAAUUUUUCAACUGAAAAGUCGAGCAAUGCCAAGGAAAUAUGAGAGGAAGCUCGGUGCUCGAAAUUACAGAAAUUAUACCUACACAAGAAACACUUGAUACGGCUAUAAAAAAUCCAGGAACAUGAUAUGACUAUCUGAGAAGCAGAAAGCAGUUAUGGUAUCCAUCGCAAUACGUUGUGGCGGAAGCUGAAACAACAAAAUGGAAAAAACCAGGAGGCCAAACUGCUCUUACAGCAGAAGAAGAGAAAGCAAUUGCUGCUCAUGCCAUUGCAAUGGCAACAUUUGGAUUUCC